GACAUGGUCAUGUAAUGGUUAGCACGUUCGCCUCACACCUCCAGGAUUAAGGGUUCGAUUCCCACCUAUGUGG